GCCUAAUACAUGCAAGUCGAGCGGAAUGACGAGAGCUUGCUCUCUGAUUUUAGCGGCGGACGGGUGAGUAACACGUGGGCAACCUGCCCUACAGAUGGGGAUAACUCCGGGAAACCGGGGCUAAUACCGAAUAAUCAGUUUGUCCGCAUGGACAAACUCUGAAAGACGGUUUCGGCUGUCACUGUAGGAUGGGCCCGCGGCGCAUUAGCUAGUUGGUGGGGUAAUGGCCUACCAAGGCAACGAUGCGUAGCCGACCUGAGAGGGUGAUCGGCCACACUGGGACUGAGACACGGCCCAGACUCCUACGGGAGGCAGCAGUAGGGAAUCUUCCACAAUGGACGAAAGUCUGAUGGAGCAAUGCCGCGUGAGCGAAGAAGGUUUUCGGAUCGUAAAGCUCUGUUGUAAGGGAAGAACACGUACGGGAGU
rnacentral:rRNA from 1 species